GGUGGCUCCUGGUCAUGCAUGUUAGUAUUUCAUGGGCUGAAGGGCAAUCUCCAAAGAUGAUUGUGUGCAGAGAGAUUUGCAAACUGCUGGUUUUCCAGGUCUUCAGUCUUGACCGUUUGGGGAGUGGCAGCAUUUCCAGAACUGUAGAUCUAGGACUAGAAAGCGAUGAGGAAAUACUUACCAUCCUUCAUCACCUGACCAACUGGAGGAAUGAUAAAACCAGUUGUAGCCAUGCCUGACCUUCUUGGCAGCGGGAACCAGGUGUUUUGCCACCACUGAAGAUCUAUUUAUGGUGGUGAUUGAUGUCAUUGGUCUAUGUUUAUUUGAAGGGGCAGAGCUCUAGGUUUAAAAGAGUGCACAUGUGUGAAUGUUUACUAGUAUAAGGAAUAAGUAAA